GAAAAAAAAAACGCGUAAAAAAAAAAACACUUUGCCCACGAUAGCCGAUGGAGAGUUCGCGUACUCGGACCCAACUGAAUCGUUAACUGCGAUUCCGGUGAUUAUGUCUGGUAACCUUCAUCAACGUGUCUUCGUGUUCGACGGAGUCUGUCAUCUUUGCCAUGGAGGAUGACUUCGCUGAGGUUACAUAGUAUGAGAAGAAGAAGCCUAAGUCACAGAAGCAAACUAUUGCUAAGAAAGGUUAUCACUGUUAGAGUUGAAUCCUUUGAUCAUUGGCUGCUGCUAAAGCUUGAGAUUAAUGUGUGUGGAGGACUUGUGAUACAUGCCGCCAUUUGAUGCAUCCAUGGAAAAGAAGUCAUCAUUGGUGAAAAUAGAGAAGGAUGGUUUGUUUUUUGAGAAGUCAUCAUUGGCAACAUAUUGGUUUU